rnacentral:rRNA from 1 species
UGGGGAAUUUUGGACAAUGGGCGAAAGCCUGAUCCAGCAAUGCCGCGUGUGUGAAGAAGGCCUUCGGGUUGUAAAGCACUUUUGUCCGGAAAGAAAUCCUUGGCUCUAAUACAGUCGGGGGAUGACGGUACCGGAAGAAUAAGCACCGGCUAACUACGUGCCAGCAGCCGCGGUAAUACGUAGGGUGCAAGCGUUAGUCGGAAUUACUGGGCGUAAAGCGUGCGCAGGCGGUUUGCUAAGACCGAUGUGAAAUCCCCGGGCUCAACCUGGGAACUGCAUUGGUGACUGGCAGGCUAGAGUAUGGCAGAGGGGGGUAGAAUUCCACGUGUAGCAGUGAAAUGCGUAGAGAUGUGGAGGAAUACCGAUGGCGAAGGCAGCCCCCUGGGCCAAUACUGACGCUCAUGCACGAAAGCGUGGGGGAGCAAACAGGAUUUAGAUACCCCUGGUAGUCCACGCCCUAAACGAUGUCAACUAGUUGUUGGGGAUUCAUUUCCUUAGUAACGUAGCUAACGCGUGAAGUUGACCGCCUGGGGAGUACGGUCGCAAGAUUAAAACUCAAAUGAAUUGACGGGGUCAUAGCUGUUUCCCU